UACGUAGGGGGCAAGCGUUGUCCGGAUUUAUUGGGCGUAAAGCGCUCGCAGGUGGUUCGAUGCGUCGUGCGUGAAAGACCCCGGCUCAACUGGGGAGGGUCGUGCGAUACGGUCGAACUGGAGGCCAGUAGGGGGAUGCGGAAUUCCGGGUGUAGCGGUGGAAUGCGUAGAGAUCCGGAAGAACACCGGUGGCGAAGGCGGCCCGCUGGGCAGGAAGGCUCGCAAGAGCCGGCUGACGCUGAGGCGCGACAGCGUGGGGAGCAAACAGG
rnacentral:rRNA from 1 species